rnacentral:rRNA from 1 species
CCUACGGGAGGCUGCAGUGGGGAAUAUUGCACAAUGGGGGAAACCCUGAUGCAGCGACGCCGCGUGAGUGAAGAAGUAUCUCGGUACGUAAAGCUCUAUCAGCAGGGAAGAAAAUGACGGUACCUGACUAAGAAGCCCCGGCUAACUACGUGCAAGCAGCCGCGGGAAUACGUAGGGGGCAAGCGUUAUCCGGAUUUACUGGGUGUAAAGGGAGCGUAGACGGCAGCACAAGUCUGGAGUGAAAUCCCGGGGCUUAACCCCGGAACUGCUUUGGAAACUGUGCGGCUGGAGUGCAGGAGGGGUAAGCGGAAUUCCUAGUGUAGCGGUGAAAUGCGUAGAUAUUAGGAGGAACACCAGUGGCGAAGGCGACUUUCUGGACAGUAACUGACGUUGAGGCACGAAAGUGUGGGGAGCAAACAGGAUUAGAUACCCUAGUAGUC